rnacentral:lncRNA from 1 species
AACAAUUUACAUGAUUCAAAUCAAUUCAAGGAAGAUCAUCUAUUAAUUCUAACCAAUAGAGACUUAGUUACUCAUAACUAAAUUAAUAAGCAACAUGAGUAAAGAAGAAAAGAAAUAAACCAGGAGGCUAUGUGUUGUACCACUGCCGUCAAUCACUUCCGCCCCUUUUCCUCAAGUCUGCGUUUUUUCAAUCUAUCCGCCUCCCCCUAGGUUAAGAGCUAAGAUCCUAUUUAUAUGCUUUUUGAAGAGAAAAUCACGUGCCACUAAGAACAUGUCAAGCAGCCCUAUACCAUGUUGACACGUCAUUAU